GUUGCUUUGGCAGCACAUGUGCUGAAAACAAUACAGAGUAGACUAGCAUUGCACCUGCACAAGGGUGACAUGCAAAUUCACAAAGUACUCUGUAUUUUU
rfam:Fukomys damarensis contig117247, whole genome shotgun sequence.